AUAUGUUUGGAUGGCUUUACCUUAUUACUGGUCAUCAGGUGAGAAAGCUCCACUUGAUGAGCAUGCAGAUGAUAUCCACAAUCUCCAGGUAUAAAUGCAAGAAUAAGAAGGAUGUGGGAAUCAUCCAGUGAAUUAGCCAAGAGACAAGGAAUUCUUCCUUGUAGGAGAGUGCUCACUUCAUGUAACUCUAUCAAGUACCUAUAUGAAAGCAUUCUUGGCUAGUUUCA